UGCAAGUCGAACGGCAGCGGGGGAAAGCUUGCUUUCCUGCCGGCGAGUGGCGAACGGGUGAGUAAUACAUCGGAACGUGCCCUGUAGUGGGGGAUAACUAGUCGAAAGAUUAGCUAAUACCGCAUACGACCUGAGGGUGAAAGUGGGGGACCGCAAGGCCUCAUGCUAUAGGAGCGGCCGAUGUCUGAUUAGCUAGUUGGUGGGGUAAAGGCCUACCAAGGCGACGAUCAGUAGCUGGUCUGAGAGGACGAUCAGCCACACUGGGACUGAGACACGGCCCAGACUCCUACGGGAGGCAGCAGUGGGGAAUUUUGGACAAUGGGCGAAAGCCUGAUCCAGCAAUGCCGCGUGUGUGAAGAAGGCCUUCGGGUUGUAAAGCACUUUUGUCCGGAAAGAAAUGGCUCUGGUUAAUACCCGGAGUUGAUGACGGUACCGGAAGAAUAAGGACCGGCUAACUACGUGCCAGCAGCCGCGGUAAUACGUAGGGUCCAAGCGUUAAUCGGAAUUACUGGGCGUAAAGCGUGCGCAGGCGGUUGUGCAAGACCGAUGUGAAAUCCCCGGGCUUAACCUGGGAAUUGCAUUGGUGACUGCACGGCUAGAGUGUGUCAGAGGGAGGUAGAAUUCCACGUGUAGCAGUGAAAUGCGUAGAGAUGUGGAGGAAUACCGAUGGCGAAGGCAGCCUCCUGGGAUAACACUGACGCUCAUGCACGAAAGCGUGGGGAGCAAACAGGAUUAGAUACCCUGGUAGUCCACGCCCUAAACGAUGUCAACUAGUUGUUGGGGAUUCAUUUCCUUAGUAACGUAGCUAACGCGUGAAGUUGACCGCCUGGGGAAGUACGGUCGCAAGAUUAAAACUCAAAGGAAUUGACGGGGAC
rnacentral:rRNA from 1 species